GGGGUUGCGGCUCAGUGGUAGAGCACUUGCCUCGCAUGCAUGAGGCACUGGGUUCAAUUCUUAGCACCA
rnacentral:tRNA from 1 species